rnacentral:snRNA from 1 species
CGCUUUGCGCAGUGGCAGUAUCAUAGCCAAUGAGGUUUAUCCAAGGAGUGAUUAUUGCUAAUUGAAAACUUUUCCCAAUACCCCACCGUGACAACUUGCAAAAACAGUAACUACAGAAAAAUAUGCCAUUCUCUUUGAAA